rnacentral:rRNA from 1 species
AAAUUGAAGAGUUUGAUCAUGGCUCAGAUUGAACGCUGGCGGCAGGCCUAACACAUGCAAGUCGAACGGUAACAGGAAACAGCUUGCUGUUUCGCUGACGAGUGGCGGACGGGUGAGUAAUGUCUGGGAAACUGCCUGAUGGAGGGGGAUAACUACUGGAAACGGUAGCUAAUACCGCAUAACGUCGCAAGACCAAAGAGGGGGACCUUCGGGCCUCUUGCCAUCGGAUGUGCCCAGAUGGGAUUAGCUUGUUGGUGGGGUAACGGCUCACCAAGGCGACGAUCCCUAGCUGGUCUGAGAGGAUGACCAGCCACACUGGAACUGAGACACGGUCCAGACUCCUACGGGAGGCAGCAGUGGGGAAUAUUGCACAAUGGGCGCAAGCCUGAUGCAGCCAUGCCGCGUGUAUGAAGAAGGCCUUCGGGUUGUAAAGUACUUUCAGCGGGGAGGAAGGGAGUAAAGUUAAUACCUUUGCUCAUUGACGUUACCCGCAGAAGAAGCACCGGCUAACUCCGUGCCAGCAGCCGCGGUAAUACGGAGGGUGCAAGCGUUAAUCGGAAUUACUGGGCGUAAAGCGCACGCAGGCGGUUUGUUAAGUCAGAUGUGAAAUCCCCGGGCUCAACCUGGGAACUGCAUCUGAUACUGGCAAGCUUGAGUCUCGUAGAGGGGGGGUAGAAUUCCAGGUGUAGCGGUGAAAUGCGUAGAGAUCUGGAGGAAUACCGGUGGCGAAGGCGGCCCCCUGGACGAAGACUGACGCUCAGGUGCGAAAGCGUGGGGAGCAAACAGGAUUAGAUACCCUGGUAGUCCACGCCGUAAACGAUGUCGACUUGGAGGUUGUGCCCUUGAGGCGUGGCUUCCGGAGCUAACGCGUUAAGUCGACCGCCUGGGGAGUACGGCCGCAAGGUUAAAACUCAAAUGAAUUGACGGGGGCCCGCACAAGCGGUGGAGCAUGUGGUUUAAUUCGAUGCAACGCGAAGAACCUUACCUGGUCUUGACAUCCACGGAAGUUUUCAGAGAUGAGAAUGUGCCUUCGGGAACCGUGAGACAGGUGCUGCAUGGCUGUCGUCAGCUCGUGUUGUGAAAUGUUGGGUUAAGUCCCGCAACGAGCGCAACCCUUAUCCUUUGUUGCCAGCGGUCCGGCCGGGAACUCAAAGGAGACUGCCAGUGAUAAACUGGAGGAAGGUGGGGAUGACGUCAAGUCAUCAUGGCCCUUACGACCAGGGCUACACACGUGCUACAAUGGCGCAUACAAAGAGAAGCGACCUCGCGAGAGCAAGCGGACCUCAUAAAGUGCGUCGUAGUCCGGAUUGGAGUCUGCAACUCGACUCCAUGAAGUCGGAAUCGCUAGUAAUCGUGGAUCAGAAUGCCACGGUGAAUACGUUCCCGGGCCUUGUACACACCGCCCGUCACACCAUGGGAGUGGGUUGCAAAAGAAGUAGGUAGCUUAACCUUCGGGAGGGCGCUUACCACUUUGUGAUUCAUGACUGGGGUGAAGUCGUAACAAGGUAACCGUAGGGGAACCUGCGGUUGGAUCACCUCCUUA